rnacentral:rRNA from 1 species
AUUGAACGCUGGCGGCAGGCCUAACACAUGCAAGUCGAACGAGUGGCGGACAGGUGAGUAAUGUCUGGGAAACUGCCCGAAGGAGGGGGAUAACUACUGGAAACGGUAGCUAAUACCGCAUACACUCGGAUGUGCCCAGAUGGGAUUAGCGAGUAGGUGGGGUAAAGGCUCACCUAGGCGACGAUCCCUAGCUGGUCUGAGAGGAUGACCAGCCACACUGGAACUGAGACACGGCCCAGACUCCUACGGGAGGCAGCAGUGGGGAAUAUUGCACAAUGGGCGAAAGCCUGAUGCAGCCAUGCCGCGUGUAUGAAGAAGGCCUUCGGGUUGUAAAGUACUUUCAGCGGGGAGGCGUUACUCGCAGAAGAAGCACCGGCUAACUCCGUGCCAGCAGCCGCGGUAAUUC